rnacentral:rRNA from 1 species
UAUCGCACAAUGGGGGAAACACUGAUGCAGCGACGCCGCGUGAGUGCAGAAGUAUUUCGGUAUGUAAAGCUCUCUCAGCAGGGAAGAAGAUGACAGUACCUGAGUAAGAAGCCCCGGCUAACUACGUGCCAGCAGCCGCGGUAAUACGUAGGGGGCAAGCGUUAUCCGGAUUUACUGGGUGUAAAGGGAGCGUAGACGGCAGCACAAGUCUGGAGUGAAAUGCCGGGGCUUAACCCCGGAACUGCAUUGGAAACUGUGCAGCUAGAGUGCAGGAGAGGUAAGUGGAAUUCCUAGUGUAGCGGUGAAAUGCGUAGAUAUUAGGAGGAACACCAGUGGCGAAGGCGGCUUACUGGACUGUAACUGACGUUGAGGCUCGAAAGCGUGGGGAGCAAACAG